UCUAGAGAUUUGGCGGACGGGUGAGUAACACGUGAGAAACCUGCUCUGGAGUGGGGAAUAACUCGAAGAAAUUCGAGCUAAUACCGCAUACCUUCUCUUCACCGCAUGGUGAGUUGAAGAAAGAUUUAUCGCUCUAGGAGGGUCUCGCGGCCUAUCAGCUAGUUGGUGAGGUAAUGGCUCACCAAGGCAUCGACGGGUAGCUGGUCUGAGAGGACGAUCAGCCACACUGGGACUGAGACACGGCCCAGACUCCUACGGGAGGCAGCAGUAGGGAAUCUUGCGCAAUGGGCGAAAGCCUGACGCAGCAAUGCCGCGUGCGGGACGAAGGCCCUAGGGUCGUAAACCGCUUUCAGUAGGGACGAAAAUGACGGUACCUGCAGAAGAAGCUCCGGCCAACUACGUGCCAGCAGCCGCGGUAAUAAUCGUCGAC
rnacentral:rRNA from 1 species